UGGACAAUACAAAGGGCAGCGAAACCGCGAGGUCAAGCAAAUCCCAUAAAGUUGUUCUCAGUUCGGAUUGUAGUCUGCAACUCGACUACAUGAAGCUGGAAUCGCUAGUAAUCGUAGAUCAGCAUGCUACGGUGAAUACGUUCCCGGGUCUUGUACACACCGCCCGUCACACCACGAGAGUUUGUAACACCCGAAGCCGGUGGAGUAACCUUUUAGGAGCUAGCCGUCGAAGGUGGGACAAAUGAUUGGGGUGAAGUCGUAACAAGGUAGCCGUAUCGGAAGGUGCGGCUGGAUCACCUCCUUUCUAAGGA
rnacentral:rRNA from 1 species